CUACGGAGGGUGCGAGCGUUAAUCGGAAUUACUGGGCGUAAAGGGUGCGUAGGCGGCUUGAUAAGUCGGAUGUGAAAGCCCCGGGCUUAACCUGGGAAUUGCAUUCGAUACUGUCAGGCUAGAGUAUGUCAGAGGUUGGCGGAAUUCCUGGUGUAGCGGUGAAAUGCGUAGAUAUCAGGAGGAACACCAGUGGCGAAGGCGGCUAACUGGGACAAUACUGACGCUGAGGCACGAAAGCGUGGGGAGCAAACAGGAUUAGAUACCCUAGUAGUCC
rnacentral:rRNA from 1 species